rnacentral:lncRNA from 1 species
UUUUUUUUUUUUUGUCUUUUUGCCUUUUUCUAGGGCUGCUCUUGCAGCCUAUGGAGGUUCCCAGGCUAGGGGUCUAAUCAGAGCUGUAACCACCGGCCUACACCAGAGCCACAGCAAGGGAUCUGAGCCGUGUCUGCGACCUAUACCACAGUUCAUGGCAAUACCGGAUCCUUAACCCACUGAGCAAGGGCAGGGAUCAAACCCGCAACCUCACGGUUCCUAGUCGGAUUUGUUAACCACUGUGCCACGACGGGAACUCCUGUCUCACUAUUUCAUAUACCUCAUGUAAGUGGUAUCGUGCAAUAUUAGUCUUUCGGUGACUGGCUCCUUUCACUUCGCUUAAUGUCUUCAAGGGUCAUCCAUGUUUUGAAUAUGCCAGGUUUGCCUUCUUUUUUUUUUUUUUUUUUGAUGCUGAAUAACAUACAGCAUUUUGCAAGUGAUGAGAGAGAAAUGGGCAUUUUCUUUUCUCUUAUAUAUUUAAUAAUUUUUAAUUUAAAAUGGUAUAUAUAAUUUAUGUCAACUAGGAAACUUAGAAAAUUCAAAUAAAUCCAAAAGAGGGGAAAAAAGUGAACCACCCAUAAGUUGGACCACAGAGGUAUUUAGAGACCAUUCCAGAAUGUCUUCUAGGUAUUCGUAAUUUUUUAAGUAUGUAAUGCAUAUUGCUUUAUAACCUGCUUUUUUGCCCUUAAUUAUAUUUUGGAUUUAUUUUUCCACAUUAGUGAGUACCUACAACCAGUCACUACAACAGCUGCAUGGUAUUCCGCUGCAUGGAAUAAAAACUCUAGGCGGUUUCCAAUUGUCUGCUAUUGCCAGCAACCUUGUGAUCCUCAGUGCUGAAAUAACCACAAGGCAAAGCUCUAUUAGCUUUAUUGUCUAAUUUCUGUCCCCACUCCUGAAUCCCUUGCUUGUCCCUAUUAUAAAUAAUUAAAAUGUUUUCCAGUUACACCUGCCUAAUUACAUAUUAAUGGUUCCAAGUCAAAAGAUCAUUGCUGAGCUUAAUUACAACAGAGCCACUUGUUCGCAAAAACCCAACCCUUUUUUCAUAUCAGAAACACCACCGUGAUCUACAGACUGAACUUUACAGACUAGAAUGAUCUUCUACAACAAACAGAUGUCAAUGGGUUCUCCCUUGAUAAGGCAGAAACGACAUCAUACCUAAUAAUUCAGACAGAGGAAAAUGAGUUCCAUAGUAAGGGAAUCUGCUUGUGAAAACAGUUUUAAAAUCAUGAGUAAUAUUGCAAAGUGGACAGGACAUGAGACCGAGGCAGACAAAAUGAGGUUAACAUUGGUACUGACCCCCCCCCCUUUUAUUUUUUUGUAUUUUUAGGGCCAUACCUGUGGCACAUGGAGGUUUCCAGGCUAGGGGUUGAAUCAGAGCUGUAGCUGCCAGCCUACACCACAGCAACAGCAAUGCCAGAUUCGAGCCACACCCAAGACCUACACUACAGCUCACAGAAACACUGAUCCUUAACCCAUUGAGGGAGGCCAGGGAUCAAACCUGCGUCCUCAAGGAUACUAGUCAGAUUUGUUUCCACUGAGCCAUGACAGGAACUCCUGGCACUGACUCUUAUUUGCUGUGUUCUCUUGAGCAACCUGAAUUAACUUCUCUGACCCCCAAGCUGUUUAUCUAUAAAAUAGUUAUUAAUACCUACUGCAGAGUUGUGGUAGGGAUUAAAAUGAUGAUAGAUGACUCCAAUGUUUUAUUUAUUUGACAAAUGAAUAGAUGAGGAGAGUAAUUCCAUUCUUCCCAAUCAAGAAAGCGACAGAAGGACACCAGGAGGGACUGCCCCUUCUUGAACAUUAAGACACAGAGAACAGCUAGAGUCAGAUCUCUCUCCAACUUGAAAGAAACCAUCUCUUAGUCCAACUCUGCCUUUGAUAUCUCAGGCCAUAGCGUUCUCCAUUAAUAAGGUGGCCAAAGAAUUUACAUCCAGAGUUCCCAUUAUGGCUCGGUGGGUUAAAAACCCGACUAGUAUCCAUGAGGAUGUGGGUUCAAUCCCUGGCCUCACAGUGGGUUAAGGAUCUGGUAUUGCCAUGAGCUGCAGCAUAGGUUGCAGACAUGGCUCAGAUCUGGUGUUGCUGUGGCUGUUGCAUAGGCUGGCAGCUGCCACUCCAAUUCGACCCCUAGCCUAGGAACUUCCAUAUGCUGCAGGUGAGGCCCUAAAAAGUAAAAGAAAAAGAAUUUAUAUCCACACUGGGACACUUUUGAGACUUAACUGGGGCACUAUAAAUAGUUAGCAGGGACAGCAGGUACAAACUUGAACUCUCCCAGGCAGAGGGGUAACCCUGGUAUUAACUGCAUAAUGACCAGUCUACAUGGAGCAAGUAGAAAAACCAGGUCAUUUCAUUCCAAAGAACUCAUCCAGGAGUUUCCACUGUGACUGAAUGAGUUAAAAAUCUGACUGCAGUGACAUGAGUCACUGUAGAGGUGCAAGUUCAAACCCCGGCCCCAUAUGGUGGGUUAAAAGAUCUGGCAUUGCUGUAGCUACAGUGUAGGUCACAGCAACACCAGAUCCUUUAACCCAUCACACUGGGCCAGAGAUCAAACCUACACAUCUGCGGCAACCCAAGCCACUGCAGUAGGAUUCUUAACCCACUGUGCCACAGCAGGAAUGCCCCAUUUGAUUUUUUUACACAUCCAUUAUAUGCCAAGCCCUAGCCUAAAAUUACAGGAACUAGAGAGAUGGCUGUGCCAUAGUCUCUGCUUUCAAAAAACAGUUAAAUCAAGAUUAACAAAGAAGCUAUUGAUGAAAAACGUACAAAAUGAAAAAUUCCAUAUUGUGUGUGCAAAGCACCAUGGGCCACAGAGAAGAGGGUGACUGACUUCCUGAGAUGUGUUCACAGAAGUGGUACUAUUUGAGGCAUCUCAAGUGAUAUUUUCUAAGUGUGGGGAGUAAGUUCUAGGUCCAAAUCUAAGGACGUCUGAGAGUGUGGAAUGUGUAAAGAGCUGCCCAAGGUCCAGUAUGGCUGGAGCCUGCUCUGAAACAGGGAGAGGGGUUGGCCUCCAAACUCUCUCUGAGCUCCUACAACCCUCUCCAGCAGUGGAAAUCUCUGCUGUGUAGUCUUCUAGCUCCUGCCUUCUCUCUAACAGAACUCCCAAAGCCCCAGAACUUCUUGCAAAGCUCCCACAUAUUUUCUUUGAAUGUCUUUAACAAUAAUGUUACUGUCUUUCUCAAUUUCUUAAAGUGUGUAGGUGUGCAUGUGGAAAUGUGGUGUCACAUGUCCAUUAUGCCAGAUUCUUGCCAUGAUUCUGUACCAGUGAAAGCUUGAUGAAUAGAUGCCAGCUUCUGACUUUUAAAGCACCUUAAGUGAUAUGUUUUCAAAAGAGCAUUUUCUUACAGUAUUCCAAACCAUUCAAUUCAUACGAGGAACCCACAUGAGACCGAGACGCACCCUAGACUGAGUUUACAUCCUUUUAAACAAGUUUUUCUACUAUCGUUUCUGUAGGGUAUAAAAAAAAAUCAAUGUGAUUCUAAAUAAUUCUGACCUCUUUAGAAGGCAACACAUGUUGCAUUUGAUUCAAAACAAUUCUUGUGUU